GUGGUGCAAUGGGUCAGUGCAUCUGGCUGUUAACCUGAAGGUUGGUGGUUCGAGCCCACCCAGGGACG
rnacentral:tRNA from 1 species